rnacentral:rRNA from 1 species
CAAUAGCGUAUAUUAAAGUUGUUGCAGUUAAAAAGCUCGUAGUUGGAUUUGUGGCGUACGGUGUGUUCCGGGCACUUGUUGUCUGAGUAACCUGCUGUUGCCAUCCUUGGGUGGAACCUGUGUGGCAUUAGGUUGUCGUGCAGGGGAUGCCCAUCAUUUACUGUGAAAAAAUUAGAGUGUUCAAAGCAGGCUUAUGCCGUUGAAUAUAUUAGCAUGGAAUAGUGAGAUAGGACUUUCUUGCUAUUUUGUUGGUUUGCGCAAAGAGGUAAUGAUUAAUAGGGACAGUUGGGGGUAUUCGUAUUCCAUUGUCAGAGGUGAAAUUCUUGGAUUUUUGGAAGACGAACUACUGCGAAAGCAUUUACCAAGGAUGUUUUCAUUAA